rnacentral:rRNA from 1 species
GAGUUUGAUCCUGGCUCAGAUUGAACGCUGGCGGAAUGCUUUACACAUGCAAGUCGAACGGCAGCAUAGAGAGCUUGCUCUCUGAUGGCGAGUGGCGAACGGGUGAGUAAUAUAUCGGAACGUACCUAGUAAUGGGGAACAACCAGCCGAAAGGUUGGCUAAUACCGCAUACGACCUACGGGUGAAAGCAGGGGAUCUUCGGACCUUGCGUUAUUAGAGCGGCCGAUAUCUGAUUAGGUAGUUGGUGGGGUAAAGGCCUACCAAGCCGACGAUCAGUAGCUGGUCUGAGAGGACGAUCAGCCACACUGGAACUGAGACACGGUCCAGACUCCUACGGGAGGCAGCAGUGGGGAAUUUUGGACAAUGGGGGAAACCCUGAUCCAGCCAUUCCGCGUGAGUGAAGAAGGCCUUCGGGUUGUAAAGCUCUUUCGCAAGAGAAGAAAUCUUACUAUCGAAUAAAUAGUAAGGAUGACGGUAUCUUGACAAGAAGCACCGGCUAACUACGUGCCAGCAGCCGCGGUAAUACGUAGGGUGCGAGCGUUAAUCGGAAUUACUGGGCGUAAAGCGUGCGCAGGCGGUUUUAUAAGUCAGAUGUGAAAUCCCCGAGCUCAACUUGGGAACUGCGUUUGAAACUGUAAGACUAGAGUGUGUCAGAGGGGGGUAGAAUUCCACGUGUAGCAGUGAAAUGCGUAGAGAUGUGGAGGAACACCAAUGGCGAAAGGCAGCCCCCUGGGAUAACACUGACGCUCAUGCACGAAAGCGUGGGGAGCAAACAGGAUUAGAUACCCUGGUAGUCCACGCCCUAAACGAUGUCUACUAGUUGUUGGGUGGGAGUAAAAUCCAUGAGUAACGCAGCUAACGCGUGAAGUAGACGCCCUGGGGAGUACGGUCGCAGAUUAAAACUCAAGGAAUUGACGGGGCCGCACAGCGGUGGAUUAUGUGGAUUAUUCGAUGCACGCGAAAACUACUGGCCUGACAUGUACGAUUAGCAGAGAUGCUUAGUGCUCGUAGAGACGGUACACAGGUGCUGCAUGGCUGUCGUCAGCUCUGUCUUGAGAAUGUUUGGUUAGGUCCGCACGAGCGCAUCCGUGGCCAUAUGGCAUCAUAAGUUGGCACUUAAUGGGACUUGCGGGUACAACACCCCCGGGAAG